AGCACAGCCACGAGGUCUUUUGCUCCGUACGAACAUGGGGUGAAUUUACCUUUAAUUUUUUACACCACAAGAACAGACAGAUUGUGAAACGUGCCUCAAAAGAACUCUUCUUAACUGUCCACUGACCCCUCUUCGCCUAGAUGGAAGGAAGUCUCAGAGAUGCCGGGGACUGUGGCACGUCGCACUUGAGAAGGAGAACUAACCCCAACCUCUGUUGGGGCAUAUGUGGCCUCAGGAUCCUGCUGUAUGGAGGAAGAUGAGGAGCGAGGGAGACCAACCUGUUCAGUUCCCCCCUGAGGAGACCAUGCCCGAGGGGCAUCAUGGGAAGGCGCAAAUGGAGGCUCAAAUGGAGAAGUGUCCAAUGGAACGGGGGGAACCACUUCAGCUUCACUGGACAUGAGCCUUUAGGCUUUGGAGAAUUCCCUCUCCAGCGCCUGAUGUCUCCUCGAGGCCUCUCGCUCGGCUGCCUUGGAGGUCUGUUUGGUGGAUAAGUGUUUUGUCUUGACUUUUUUCUUUCCCCCGCAUCCAAAUCAGUUGAUCUGCGCUUUGUUUAUGCGGGGGGAACACCAGAGCCUUGUGAUGCCUGGGGCGAGGAACUGUCUGCCAUUGCAGUACUGUCUGUAGUGCAGUACUGCAGGCCACUUUAGCUGACUGUGUUCAGCAGGUCAGCGGUUCAAAUCUCACCAGCUCAAGGUUGACUCAGCCUUCCAUC